rnacentral:rRNA from 1 species
UACGGGGGGAGCAAGCGUUGUUCGGAUUUACUGGGCGUAAAGGGCGCGUAGGCGGCCACCGCAAGUCGACUGUGAAAUCUCCGGGCUUAACCCGGAAAGGUCAGCCGAUACUGCGGGGCUAGAGUGCAGAAGGGGCAACUGGAAUUCUCGGGUGUAGCGGUGAAAUGCGUAGAUAUCGAGAGGAACACCUGCGGCGAAGGCGGGUUGCUGGGCUGACACUGACGCUGAGGCGCGAAAGCCAGGGGAGCAAACGGG